UUAAGUUAUUAAGGGCGCACGGUGGAUGCCUUGGCACUAGAAGCCGAUGAAGGACGUUACUAACGACGAUAUGCUUUGGGGAGCUGUAAGUAAGCUUUGAUCCAGAGAUUUCCGAAUGGGGAAACCCAGCAUGAGUUAUGUCAUGUUAUCGAUAUGUGAAUACAUAGCAUAUCAGAAGGCACACCCGGAGAACUGAAACAUCUUAGUACCCGGAGGAAGAGAAAGAAAAUUCGAUUCCCUUAGUAGCGGCGAGCGAAACGGGAAGAGCCCAAACCAACAAGCUUGCUUGUUGGGGUUGUAGGACACUCUAUACGGAGUUACAAAGGACGACAUUAGACGAAUCAUCUGGAAAGAUGAAUCAAAGAAGGUAAUAAUCCUGUAGUCGAAAAUGUUGUCUCUCUUGAGUGGAUCCUGAGUACGACGGAGCACGUGAAAUUCCGUUGGAAUCUGGGAGGACCAUCUCCUAAGGCUAAAUACUCUCUAGUGACCGAUAGUGAACCAGUACCGUGAGGGAAAGGUGAAAAGCACCCCGGAAGGGGAGUGAAAUAGAACCUGAAACCGUGUGCUUACAAGUAGUCAGAGCCCGUUAAUGGGUGAUGGCGUGCCUUUUGUAGAAUGAACCGGCGAGUUACGAUUUGAUGCAAGGUUAAGCAGUAAAUGUGGAGCCGUAGCGAAAGCGAGUCUGAAUAGGGCGUUUAGUAUUUGGUCGUAGACCCGAAACCAGGUGAUCUACCCUUGGUCAGGUUGAAGUUCAGGUAACACUGAAUGGAGGACCGAACCGACUUACGUUGAAAAGUGAGCGGAUGAACUGAGGGUAGCGGAGAAAUUCCAAUCGAACCUGGAGAUAGCUGGUUCUCUCCGAAAUAGCUUUAGGGCUAGCCUCAAGUGAUGAUUAUUGGAGGUAGAGCACUGUUUGGACGAGGGGCCCCUCUCGGGUUACCGAAUUCAGACAAACUCCGAAUGCCAAUUAAUUUAACUUGGGAGUCAGAACAUGGGUGAUAAGGUCCGUGUUCGAAAGGGAAACAGCCCAGACCACCAGCUAAGGUCCCAAAAUAUAUGUUAAGUGGAAAAGGAUGUGGCGUUGCCCAGACAACUAGGAUGUUGGCUUAGAAGCAGCCAUCAUUUAAAGAGUGCGUAAUAGCUCACUAGUCGAGUGACACUGCGCCGAAAAUGUACCGGGGCUAAACAUAUUACCGAAGCUGUGGAUUGUCCUUUGGACAAUGGUAGGAGAGCGUUCUAAGGGCGUUGAAGCAUGAUCGUAAGGACAUGUGGAGCGCUUAGAAGUGAGAAUGCCGGUGUGAGUAGCGAAAGACGGGUGAGAAUCCCGUCCACCGAUUGACUAAGGUUUCCAGAGGAAGGCUCGUCCGCUCUGGGUUAGUCGGGUCCUAAGCUGAGGCCGACAGGCGUAGGCGAUGGAUAACAGGUUGAUAUUCCUGUACCACCUAUAAUCGUUUUAAUCGAUGGGGGGACGCAGUAGGAUAGGCGAAGCGUGCGAUUGGAUUGCACGUCUAAGCAGUAAGGCUGAGUAUUAGGGAAAUCCGGUACUCAUUAAGGCUGAGCUGUGAUGGGGAGAAGACAUUGUGUCUUCGAGUCGUUGAUUUCACACUGCCGAGAAAAGCCUCUAGAUAGAAAAUAGGUGCCCGUACCGCAAACCGACACAGGUAGUCAAGAUGAGAAUUCUAAGGUGAGCGAGCGAACUCUCGUUAAGGAACUCGGCAAAAUGACCCCGUAACUUCGGGAGAAGGGGUGCUCUUUAGGGUUAACGCCCAGAAGAGCCGCAGUGAAUAGGCCCAAGCGACUGUUUAUCAAAAACACAGGUCUCUGCUAAACCGUAAGGUGAUGUAUAGGGGCUGACGCCUGCCCGGUGCUGGAAGGUUAAGAGGAGUGGUUAGCUUCUGCGAAGCUACGAAUCGAAGCCCCAGUAAACGGCGGCCGUAACUAUAACGGUCCUAAGGUAGCGAAAUUCCUUGUCGGGUAAGUUCCGACCCGCACGAAAGGCGUAACGAUUUGGGCACUGUCUCAACGAGAGACUCGGUGAAAUCAUAGUACCUGUGAAGAUGCAGGUUACCCGCGACAGGACGGAAAGACCCCGUGGAGCUUUACUGUAGCCUGAUAUUGAAAUUCGGCACAGCUUGUACAGGAUAGGUAGGAGCCUUUGAAACGUGAGCGCUAGCUUACGUGGAGGCGCUGGUGGGAUACUACCCUAGCUGUGUUGGCUUUCUAACCCGCACCACUUAUCGUGGUGGGAGACAGUGUCAGGCGGGCAGUUUGACUGGGGCGGUCGCCUCCUAAAAGGUAACGGAGGCGCUCAAAGGUUCCC
rnacentral:rRNA from 1 species